rnacentral:rRNA from 1 species
CCUACGGGUGGCUGCAGUGGGGAAUAUUGCACAAUGGGCGCAAGCCUGAUGCAGCCAUGCCGCGUGUGUGAAGAAGGCCUUCGGGUUGUAAAGCACUUUCAGCGGGGAGGAAGGCGGUGAGGUUAAUAACCUCAUCGAUUGACGUUAGCCGCAGAAGAAGCACCGGCUAACUCCGUGCCAGCAGCCGCGGUAAUACGGAGGGUGCAAGCGUUAAUCGGAAUUACUGGGCGUAAAGCGCACGCAGGCGGUCUGUCAAGUCGGAUGUGAAAUCCCCGGGCUCAACCUGGGAACUGCAUUCGAAACUGGCAGGCUAGAGUCUUGUAGAGGGGGGUAGAAUUCCAGGUGUAGCGGUGAAAUGCGUAGAGAUCUGGAGGAAUACCGGUGGCGAAGGCGGCCCCCUGGACAAAGACUGACGCUCAGGUGCGAAAGCGUGGGGAGCAAACAGGAUUAGAUACCCUUGUAGUC